rnacentral:lncRNA from 1 species
ACUGAGGUUUAGAGUAUUAAGUUCAAGAAGCAAGAGAGGCCAAACUAGGGCUAAUACCCAGUUAAUCUGCCUUUAAAAUCUGUGUUCUUUACUCUCAUGCUAUUUUCUAAACUUUAGAAAUCUGAAGGCCUCCCUAAGUUUUAGUAUAGGUCUGUGAUAAGCAACUGUCUUUACUCCUUACGUGUACCAAGUUAAUGCGUAUUUGUUUGUGAGUGGCAUAUAAAUAAAUAGUCAUAGGAGAUCUACUUGAAGGUCUCCCUUUGUCUAUAUGCAGACUAAGGCUUCACUUUAUUUAGGCCAAACCUAAACAUUAUGUAUGGUUUGGUGGCCUCCAACGUGAGUUUUAAGAGGUAUGUCUUCUACUCAGUGCUGAAAAAGGUGGGCUGUAGAAUCAGAAUGACAGGCUC